AAAUGCGAUAUGUAAUGUGAAUUGCAGAAUUCAGUGAAUCAUCGAAUCUUUGAACGCACCUUGCGCUCCUUGGUAUUCCUUGGAGCAUGCCUGUUUGAGUAUCAUGAAAUCUUCAAAGUAAAUCUUUUGUUAACUCAAUUGGUUUCUACUUUGGUAUUGGAGGUCUUUGCAGCUUCACACCUGCUCCUCUUUGUUCAUUAGCUGGAUCUCAGUGUUAUGCUUGGUUCCACUCGGCGUGAUAAGUUAUCUAUCGCUGAGGACACUGUAAAAGGUGGCCAAGGUAAAUGCAGAUGAACCGCUUCUAAUAGUCCAUUGACUUGGACAAUACUUUUAUGAUCUGAUCUCAAAUCAGGUAGGACUACCCGCUGAACUUAAGC
rnacentral:misc_RNA from 1 species